AUUUAAAUAGUUUAUGUAAAACGUAAUAUUGAAGAUAUUAAAAAAAUUAAGAUUUUUAAAUA
rnacentral:tRNA from 1 species